rnacentral:rRNA from 1 species
AUGCCUCUGCCUCCAUUACAAAUUCGGCAGUAUGUACAUACGCAAGGACAAGUUGAGCAGAGAAGUUUUUCACCUGGAUUUUGCUCCAUUGACCAUUUUUGCCACGCUCGCUCCCGUUACAACAAAUGGUCGGCCGCGCCCUCGCCAAAGUCACUCAAUACCGAGGCCACUAUCGCGGUGCUGCCUUGCCAAAACUGCUUUGAGCCGCCGUUGCCGACUCAGGCAGAGUGGUUUCGCCAUCGCCGUGAGCCGCCGGCCGCCUCGACGCCCAAGUCACCGCGGCCCUCCACUGUUGCACCUUGCCUCCGCAUCCGCGCGCUUCGGCCGCCCUCCGUUCCACUGCGGCCUGGCUCCCGAGCCCCACAAGUCGGUUCUGCUCGCCUCGCUGCCAAUGAGCCGGCGCCGGGCCGUCUUGGAUGCGCCCCAAACCGCCAGCCGCGCCCCUGCCUUCCGAACUGCCGGAGACGGCUGCUCGCUGACCAUUGCCGUAAAGCCGCCACCUUGCUGCCACGAGCCGCCCCAGUCUUUGUUGUGUCGCAGGUGUUUUUAUGGAAUCCCAGAAGAAUGAUUGAAGUGGAGAUUGUGAACGAAGAAGCAAAUAGAGACAAGCUGCGUGUACAAGUGCAGAAGCUACAUCCUGGAGCGCUGUGA